ensembl:snoRNA
GUCCUUUUGUAAUUCCUACCCAUGAUGAUUGAGUUUUUAUGAGUGUCUGUGAGACUUGCCUCCCUCGAUGUCAGCAUAUGACCUAACUGAGG